GCUCAGCGCCGAAGCUGUCGGCGGGCAACCGUCGCACGGCGGUGUGGUGNGAAAGUCUGGCGGAUGUGCGGGCGAUCGGCCGUCGUAGGCUCCCUUGAUUGGGACGUCAGAGAGGGUGCAAGCCCCGUGACGUCGGUGGUCGUCGGCAACGCGCUAGCCAGGCUGUUGAGUCGGGUUGCUCGAAAGUGCAGCCCAAAGCUGGUGGUAAAUCCCACCUAAAGCUAAACGUCACUACGAGACCGAUAGCGAACAAGUACCGCGAGGGAAAGUUGAAAAGAACUUUGAAGAGAGAGUUCAACAGGACGUGAAUCCGUUCGGAUGCAAACCGAUGGAGCUGUCGUCGUUUGGUCGGCAAUCAAUCGAAACGGGCUGUUGUCCAACGCGAAGGCGCGUCGCAUCUACGUGCUUUGCGUUGUGGCACUCACCUCGAAGCCGGGUGCCGAACGAUGCAUUUGCCGACCAGUGGCGCCACGAGCGACGGGCGGCGCAGCGAUGGCAUGCAUGCGUUCGCGCGUGCGGUGCUUGGCUUUGGGCGACGAGGCUGCUGGGUGUGGCCGUUGUAGCCGGCUUAUGGCGAACGGUCCUCCGCCCGGUCACAACCGGCGCCCUUGCCGCAGCUGCUUGCUGACGCUUGCCGCCUGUCGCCCAACGAAGCGCGCGAUCAUACUAUGCUGACUGGCAGUGCCGCCGCAGCUGCUGUUGGCAGUUGGUAGGCCUUUACUGCAGUCGUCGAGGCGCAAGGCGGUGGUCGCGUGCGCUCGGUCACCUUUGACCAGUCGUCCUUAAGGACCGGUUGACUCCGUGUUUCCUUCUGAGUCGGCUUGCGUGAUCGGGCCACGUUACGGCGCCAGCCAGGCCCCGUGUGCAUCGACCAGUCAGCGGAAGCGUGUUCCGUGGCGUCCGCGUCAGUCACCCGUCGGACCCGUCUUGAAACACGGACCAAGGAGUACAGCUUGUGCGCAAGUCAUUGACACAAGUGUCUACGGUCAACGGCGAAACGAGAGUGCUGAACGUGUGUCGGACGCAAUGCCGAACCACGCUGAUCCUGUUGCCCUGCAAUGGGCAAUGGGCGUACCGUAGUGCCGCUAGAUCCGUCGUCGCUGUCAAAUGUGCUUCCGCCAUGCGGGGCGCCUACGACGGCAAAGACCGGACUGGCGGACUCGGAGCGCACACUUUGUUACCCGAAAGAUGGUGAACUAUGCAUGAGCAGGACGAAGCCAGAGGAAACUCUGGUGGAAGUUCGUAGCGGUGUUGACGUGCAAAUCGCUCGCCUGACUUGUGCUUAGGGGCGAAAGACUAAUCGAACCAUCUAGUAGCUGGUUCCUUCCGAAGUUUCCCUCAGGAUAGCUGA
rnacentral:rRNA from 1 species